UACGAAGGGUGCAAGCGUUAAUCGGAAUUACUGGGCGUAAAGGGUGCGUAGGCGGUUCGUUAAGUCUGUUGUGAAAUCCCCGGGCUCAACCUGGGAAUGGCAAUGGAUACUGGCGGGCUAGAGUGUGUCAGAGGAUGGUGGAAUUCCCGGUGUAGCGGUGAAAUGCGUAGAGAUCGGGAAGAACACCAGUGGCGAAGGCGGCCGGCUGGGGGCGCCCUGACGCUGAGGCGCGAGAGCGUGGGGAGCAAACCGG
rnacentral:rRNA from 1 species